rnacentral:rRNA from 1 species
GACGAACGCUGGCGGCGUGCUUAACACAUGCAAGUCGAACGGAAAGGCCUGCUUUCCCUUGUGGAUUGCGGGUACUCGAGUGGCGAACGGGUGAGUAACACGUGAGUGAUCUGCCCCCAACUUGGGUAUAAGCCUGGGAAACUGGGUCUAAUUCCCGAUAGGACUGCAGGGUGGUGCCUGUGGUGGAAAACGAUUUUCUAGUGGUUGGGGAUGAGCUCGCGGCCUAUCAGCUUGUUGGUGGGGUAAUGGCCUACCAAGGCGGCGACGGGUAGCCGGCCUGAGAGGGUGGACGGCCACAUUGGGACUGAGAUACGGCCCAGACUCCUACGGGCGGCAGCAGUGGGGAAUAUUGCACAAUGGGCGGAAGCCUGAUGCAGCGACGCCGCGUGGGGGAUGACGGCCUUCGGGUUGUAAACUCCUUUCGACCGCGAGGAAGCCACCUGGUUGGAAGGGUGGUGACGGUAGUGGUAGAAGAAGCACCGGCUAACUACGUG